rnacentral:misc_RNA from 1 species
GAUGAAGAACGCAGCGAAAUGCGAUACGUAAUGUGAAUUGCAGAAUUCAGUGAAUCAUCGAAUCUUUGAACGCAUAUUGCGCUCUCUGGUAUUCCGGAGAGCAUGCUUGUUUGAGUAUCAGUAAACACCUCAACUCCCUUUUCUUUUUUGAAAUUGGAGCUGGACUUGAGUGAUCCCAACGCUUUCUUCCAAGAAAGUGGCGGGUUGCUUGAAAUGCAGGUGCAGCUGAACUUUUCUCUGAGCUAUAAGCAUAUCUAUUUAGUCUGCCUAAAAAACAGAUUAUUACCUUUGCUGCAGCUAACAUAAAGGAGACUAGUUCUUGUGCUGACUGAUGCAGGAUUCACAGAGACAGCCUCGGCUGACUUUGUAAACUCGAUCUCAAAUCAAGUAAGACUACCCGCUGAACUUAAGCAUAUCAAUAAGCGGAGGA